CGGGUGCGUAACGCGUAUAGAACCUACCUUUUACAGAGGAAUAGCCUUUAGAAAUGAAGAUUAAUGCCUCAUAGUAUUGUAGACUGGCAUCAGUUUAUAAUUAAAGAUUUAUCGGUAAAAGAUGGCUAUGCGUCCUAUUAGUUAGUUGGUAAGGUAACGGCUUACCAAGACAGCGAUAGGUAGGGGUCCUGAGAGGGAGAUCCCCCACACUGGUACUGAGACACGGACCAGACUCCUACGGGAGGCAGCAGUGAGGAAUAUUGGACAAUGGAGGAGACUCUGAUCCAGCCAUGCCGCGUGUAGGAAGAAUGCCCUAUGGGUUGUAAACUACUUUUAUACAGGAAGAAACACUGGUAUGUAUACCAGCUUGACGGUACUGUAAGAAUAAGGACCGGC
rnacentral:rRNA from 1 species